AGCGAACGCUGGCGGCAGGCCUAACACAUGCAAGUCGAACGAACCUUUCGGGGUUAGUGGCGGACGGGUGAGUAACACGUGGGAACGUGCCUUUAGGUUCGGAAUAACUCAGGGAAACUUGUGCUAAUACCGAAUGUGCCCUUCGGGGGAAAGAUUCAUCGCCUUUAGAGCGGCCCGCGUCUGAUUAGCUAGUUGGUUGAGGUAAUGGCUCACCAAGGCGACGAUCAGUAGCUGGUCUGAGAGGAUGAUCAGCCACAUUGGGACUGAGACACGGCCCAAACUCCUACGGGAGGCAGCAGUGGGGAAUCUUGCGCAAUGGGCGAAAGCCUGACGCAGCCAUGCCGCGUGAAUGAUGAAGGUCUUAGGAUUGUAAAAUUCUUUCACCGGGGACGAUAAUGACGGUACCCGGAGAAGAAGCCCCGGCUAACUUCGU
rnacentral:rRNA from 1 species